CGAGCGUUGUCCGGAUUUAUUGGGCGUAAAGCGAGCGCAGGCGGUUUCAUAAGUCUGAAGUUAAAGGCAGUGGCUUAACCAUUGUACGCUUUGGAAACUGUGAGACUUGAGUGCAGAAGGGGAGAGUGGAAUUCCAUGUGUAGCGGUGAAAUGCGUAGAUAUAUGGAGGAACACCGGUGGCGAAAGCGGCUCUCUGGUCUGUAACUGACGCUGAGGCUCGAAAGCGUGGGGAGCAAACAGGAUUAGAUACCCUGGUAGUCCACGCCGUAAACGAUGAGUGCUAGGUGUUAGGCCCUUUCCGGGGCUUAGUGCCGCAGUAACGCAUUAAGCACUCCGCCUGGGGAGUACGACCGCAAGGUUGAAACUCAAAGGAAUUGACGGGGGCCCGCACAAGCGGUGGAGCAUAUGGUUUDGUUCGAAGCAACGCGAAGAACCUUACCAGGUCUUGACAUCNNCGGAAGUUUUCAGAGAUGAGAAU
rnacentral:rRNA from 1 species